GAGGAAAACUGAUUUGGUGGAAAGACAACAAAAACAAAACAUGGGAAAUAGUCUACAGGUGUAUCCAGCAGCUCCAGAGAGACAGAGACCAGCGAGAAGGGACCAUGAUGAUGGUGGCGGUUUUGUCAAAAAGAAAAGGGGGAUAUGCAGGGAAAAGGAAGAGAGAUCAGACUGUUACUGUGUCUAUGUAGAAAGGGAAGACAUAAGAGACUCCAUUUGGAAAAAGACCUGUACUUUAAACAACUGCUUUGCUGAGAUGUUCUUAAUCUGUAGCUUUGCCCCAGCCAGUUUGACCCAAGCACUUUGACCCAACCUGGAGCUCACAAAAACAUGUGUUGUAUGAAAUCAAGGUUUAAGGGAUGUAGGGCUGUGCAGGACUUGCCUUGUUAACAAAAUGUUUCCAAGCAGUAUACUUAGUAAGUCAUUGCCAUUCUCUAGUCUCAAUAAACCAGGGGCACAAUACACUGUGGAAAGCGGCAGGGAGCCCUGCCCUUGAAAGCGGCAUAUUAUCUAAGGUUUCUACCCAUGUGAUAGUCUGAAAAGUGGCCUCAUGGGAGGAGAAAGUCCUGACGGUCCCCCAGCCUGACACCUGUAAAAGGUCUGCGCUGAGGUGGAUUAGUCAAAGAGGAAAGCCUCUUGAAGUUGAGAGAGAGGAAGGCCACUGUCUCCUGCCUGUCCCUGGGAACUGAAUGUCUUGGUAUAAAACCCGAUUGUACAUUUGUUCAAUUCUGAGAUGGGAGAAGAACCGCCCUAUGGUGGGAGGCGAGACGUGUUUACAGCAAUGCUGCCUUGUUAUUCUUUACUCCACUGAGAUGUUUGGGUGGAGAGAAACAUAAAUCUGGCUUACGUGCACGUCCAGUGAUAGUACCUUCCCUUGAACUUCAUUAUGACAUAGAUUCUAUUGCUCACAUGUUUGUUGCUGACCUUCUCCUUAUUAUCACCCUG
rnacentral:lncRNA from 1 species